rnacentral:rRNA from 1 species
GAUGAACGCUGGCGGCGUGCCUAAUACAUGCAAGUCGAACGAAACUUCUUUAUCACCGAGUGCUUGCACUCACCGAUAAAGAGUUGAGUGGCGAACGGGUGAGUAACACGUGGGCAACCUGCCCAAAAGAGGGGGAUAACACUUGGAAACAGGUGCUAAUACCGCAUAACCAUAGUUACCGCAUGGUAACUAUGUAAAAGGUGGCUAUACUACCGCUUUUGGAUGGGCCCGCGGCGCAUUAGCUAGUUGGUAGGGUAAAGGCUUACCAAGGCAAUGAUGCGUAGCCGAGUUGAGAGGGUGAGCCGCCACAUUGGGACUGAGACACGGCCCAAACUCCUACGGGGGGCAGCAGUAGGGAAUCUUCCACAAGGGGCGAAAGCCUGAUGGAGCAACGCCGCGUGGGUGAAGAAGGUCUUCGGAUCGUAAAACCCUGUUGUUAGAGAAGAAAGUGCGUGAGAGUAACUGUUCACGUUUCGACGGUAUCUAACCAGAGAGCCACGGCAAACUGCG